GUUGUGCGCGCGCCGCUCCGCUCUGAGGGGGCCCGGGGGUCGCCGCAUCCCCUCACGGGGGGCUUCGGUGCAGCCGGCGGCGCCGCGCCCGCCCUUCCUGUCUUCGGGAGACAUCGCUUCCAGGAAUUGAGGGGCUGCGGAGGCAGGAAAUCCUGCGGGGCCCCGCAAGGGGAGCGGCCGCGCUGACGUCCCAUCAGCGCGGAGCAUGGGGGGGCGGGAGGUGCCCUCCGCCCCCUCCUCAGAGAAGGUCCUUGCUCCAUGUGAGCACCCGCAUGAUGAAAUGCUGAACCGUGCUGUGCGCCUCUCUCGGGGGCGGAUACUGCUGUGUUUGCCAUUGCUGUCAGACGAGAACAUCACACCAUGCUGCCCGCCUCAGUUGCCCCACGCAGGACUUUGAUGCUGAAUUGUAGCUAAAAAGCAGCAUUAAGCCUGUUUUUCAUCCAGAAUGCUUUCCAUUUACACUGUUCUCAGAGUGUCUGACCUCUGUAUGCAUAAUACACUAACAGAAGUCUUUAAUGGGAGCAAUAGUGGGAAGCCAUAAGUAAUCCAGCAUCAUAGGGCAUUUAAGAAGGUUGUAGAGCAUAUUGCUGAAAUGCUUUGGUAAAUUUGAGGAAUGGUCCGGUAGCCUGGUGUUGAAGGAAUUUUCUGCUUACUCAGUGUCUUGAAUUUUCCACCCUGGAUCUCUCUGAUCUGUUCAGGAGGAUUUCAGAGGACUGUGGGUGCUCAGCCUUUGUGCCAGUGCUUCACAUCACUCAGCAGUGACGUUUAGUGUUGGUUAUGGAGAGUUUCUGACAACGCCGCCCUUCCAGGCUAAAGAAGAAGUGAUAAAGGGCCUAAAGACAGCAGGAGCUGGCAGUAUUGCAGGUGUUGAAGCUAUAAGGAGAGAUGCAGAGUGUGAUGUUAUCCUUCAAAGUGCACAUGAGGAGAAGCUAUGAGAGACAUUGAAAAGGUGCCAGAUACAUUUAAAUGAACCUAUUAAAAAGACAAGAAAUUUGGAAAUAUGGAGAAAAAGAAAGAGAAAAUUCUUUCAGUUUAUUGCCAUUUGAAGAAUAUUUUCUGUCAAUUUGUACAUUCAAAUGCUGCAUCUGAAAAACCGUUUUCCACACAUAAGGAAACUUGGAUCUGAAUGAUUGAUUUGCUUAAGGCUGAGGUUCAGAUCAGCAUUGGUAAGUAUUAAAAGGUUAAUUGUUUAGAUAACAGAUCAAUUAUAAAACUGGUUCCAUUCUGUUAAACGCAGAAAUUCAGAGAUUGCUUUGAGAUAUAUUAAAACCUAUAAUAAUUUAAAUUUUAUAGAACAAAUGGAAGGUAUGGGUAUGCCUUAUGUACUGUGUCUUUGAGGGCAGUAGUAAUAUGCAGUUGAGGUGACAAUGUAUGGCAUGUUAAAGAAAAUAUACCUUCCCUAAAAUGUGCCAUAUAAUAAAACAUUGUUUAUUAUUCUUUAUAUCUGACUAUUUACAUGGCUAUUUAUAUUUAUUUAUAUUGCGGUUCCCAUAGAAGAGAGCUUGUCACCAUAUCUCAAGAACAAGCCUUAGAGAAUAGUCCCUGCCAUGGAAACAAUUUGAGAAAAGUCACAUAUCUUUAUUGUGUAGCCUUUUCAGCUGAGAU